rnacentral:lncRNA from 1 species
CGGUGCUUUCUCUGGAAACACAGAGAUUCCGGUGACCCUGGAAAUAUUUGGUUUUUCCACACACAGCGAACUGGUGCAAAGGUGGAUCUUCUUUUAAAUUAACUCCGUCUCCAAACAUCCCUGCUCCCCUGUGGGAUUUUUUCUUUCCGUUGUUUUUAGAAGCUCAAGGGUGAUUCCCAUUUAAAGAGGAAAUGUUUGUGCAGCAAUAAAUUAAAUUACAAUUAUGCUAAUUUGACAGUUUUCACAGCUUUUUUUCUAACUGUCGGACACAACAUUAUGCAUUCUAAGCUUUACUUUGAGCUUUAGUCCUUUGAUCUAAACAUUUUCAUAAGAAUGUUUUAAAUCUUUCACUUAUAAAUCAUUUGUAUAAAAAAGCUUCAAAACACAAUGAAAAACCUGAAAUAGACAGAAAAAGAGCUUAAAGGGACUUUACGGACUUUUGAACUUUUAUGCUCGCGAUUGCCCCCUCAGGCCAAAAGCGUAACGGCAGCUUCAAUAGUAGGCUCGUGCACGAGGCGCACAUGCUGUACGUGCACACUCCUUAACAAAAAUAACAGCUGAGACAGUCCCAUGUGUGUGUGUGUGUGUGUGUGUGUGUGGCCCGGAGGACAGAGGACAGGAGAACGCGCAGCUAAUUAAUUAAAUAAUUUGGUUCUGUACCUUUCUCUUCAGCACAGCCGACAAAGGUUUAUGAUGGGUCAGUCCUCCUGCAUGCUCAGAUCAUUCCCUUCCCUUGCUUGAAAAAUUGUUCCGAAAUGAAAGUUGAACCCACAUCUUUUUUAUCUGUGAAUUCAAUGCCGUUCGGCGAGUCUCAAAUAAAAAUUUGGGCAUCUUACUGUAAAAAAAAUAUACCAUUAAUGUAAAAAAGAAACUCUAAAUAAACUAUGUUCACAUCCAGAAUCAAACCCAGGUCUUCUGCAUGAGAAGUCAGACAUCUUACAAGGUGAGCUACACUCUAGUAACAUUCACAGUAUCUGUAACUUUUAUAUCCUUGAUGACAGCUGAAACAACGUCAAACCAAAGAACGGUUCGGAG